GAUGAAUGCUGGCGGCGUGCCUAACACAUGCAAGUCGAGCGGCAGCGAGGGGUGCUUGCACCCUGUCGGCGAGCGGCGAACUGCUGAGUAACGCGUAGGAAUUUGCCCCAAAGUGAGGAAUAACUGCCCGAAAGGGUAGCUAAUGCCGCAUAUGGUCUUCGGAUUAAAGGAUUUAUCCGCUUUGGGAGAAGCCUGCGUUGGAUUAGGUUGUUGGUAGGGUAAUGGCCUACCAAGCCGACGAUCCAUAGCUGGUCUGAGAGGAUGAUCAGCCAGACUGGAACUGAGACACGGUCCAGACUCCUACGGGAGGCAGCAGUGAGGAAUCUUCCACAAUGGGCGAAAGCCUGAUGGAGCAACGCCGCGUGAAGGAUGAAGGCCUUCGGGUUGUAAACUUCUUUUAUGAGUGAAGAAUAUGACGGUAACUCAUGAAUAAGCACCGGCUAACUACGUG
rnacentral:rRNA from 1 species